rnacentral:rRNA from 1 species
CGCUCCUUGAUUUUAAUUAAUAAGGAGUCGGACCUGCCCAGUGAUAAGUAUUUAACGGCCGCGGUACUCUGACCGUGCAAAGGUAGCAUAAUCAUUUGCCCUAUAAUUGAGGGCUAGUAUGAAUGGUUUGACAAGAACAAUACUGUCUCUUUCAAAAUUUCUAGAAUUUAUUCUUUAGGUGAAGAAACCUAAAUAAAAUUAAAAGACAAGAAGACCCUAUCGAGCUUAAACUCUUUUUAUAAAAUAAAAAAAAUUAAUAAUAUUUUUUGUUAUAAAAAAUUUUGGUUGGGGCGACUAAGGAACAAAAAAAGCUUCUUUAUUUAACAAAGACAAAUAUGUAUUGAUCCAUAAAAUCUUGAUUAAAAGAAUUAGUUACCGUAGGGAUAACAGCAUAAUCUUUUUUAAGAGUUCUUAUCGAAAAAAAGGUUUGUGACCUCGAUGUUGGACUAAAAUUUCCUAAUAGAUGCAGACGUCUUUAAGGG